AGUAGGGCGGGACACGUGACAUCCUGUCUGAAUAUGGGGGGACCAUCCUCCAAGGCUAAAUACUCCUGACUGACCGAUAGUGAACCAGUACCGUGAGGGAAAGGCGAAAAGAACCCCGGCGAGGGGAGUGAAAUAGAACCUGAAACCGUGUACGUACAAGCAGUGGGAGCACCUUCGUGGUGUGACUGCGUACCUUUUGUAUAAUGGGUCAGCGACUUAUAUUUUGUAGCAAGGUUAACCGAAUAGGGGAGCCGUAGGGAAACCGAGUCUUAACUGGGCGUCUAGUUGCAAGGUAUAGACCCGAAACCCGGUGAUCUAGCCAUGGGCAGGUUGAAGGUUGGGUAACACUAACUGGAGGACCGAACCGACUAAUGUUGAAAAAUUAGCGGAUGACUUGUGGCUGGGGGUGAAAGGCCAAUCAAACCGGGAGAUAGCUGGUUCUCCCCGAAAGCUAUUUAGGUAGCGCCUCGUGAACUCAUCUUCGGGGGUAGAGCACUGUUUCGGCUAGGGGUCCAUCCCGGAUUACCAAACCGAUGCAAACUCCGAAUACCGAAGAAUGUUAUCACGGGAGACACACGGCGGGUGCUAACGUCCGUCGUGAAGAGGGAAACAACCCAGACCGCCAGCUAAGGUCCCAAAGUCAUGGUUAAGUGGGAAACGAUGUGGGAAGGCAUAGACAGCCAGGAUGUUGGCUUAGAAGCAGCCAUCAUUUAAAGAAAGCGUAAUAGCUCACUGGUCGAGUCGGCCUGCGCGGAAGAUGUAACGGGGCUAAACCAUGCACCGAAGCUGCGGCAGCGACGCUUAGGCGUUGUUGGGUAGGGGAGCGUUCUGUAAGCCGUUGAAGGUGGCCUGUGAGGGCUGCUGGAGGUAUCAGAAGUGCGAAUGCUGACAUAAGUAACGAUAAUGCGGGUGAAAAACCCGCACGCCGGAAGACCAAGGGUUCCUGUCCAACGUUAAUCGGGGCAGGGUGAGUCGACCCCUAAGGCGAGGCUGAAAAGCGUAGUCGAUGGGAAACAGGUUAAUAUUCCUGUACUGGGUGUGACUGCGAAGGGGGGACGGAGAAGGCUAGGCUAGCCGGGCGACGGUUGUCCC
rnacentral:rRNA from 1 species